rnacentral:lncRNA from 1 species
CUGCUUUUGAGAACUUCACCCUGGAAGAGCAAAGGCAGGCAGGCGACGGAGUGGACCAAUACCUACAAGGUCCUCUUGAGAGGAAGGCAGCAGUAAUUGACCCUGUAACUAACUGAAUGCAUCUGGACUGUUGAAGAUGGAGAAAAUCAUCUCCAUGAGCAGAGCUAAGAAGUUUAAAAGAUAAUCUGUCAUACCAUGAAUUCAUGGACUAUUCCUGACCACAGAUUUAGGAUGCUCUCUGAAUAUCCUUUACCGGAAGCUGGAAACUGAGCAGGAAAUAGAGGCACAGAAAUAUUUAAGGACUUUCCAAAGAUUACAUGUGGUUUCACCAGUGGAAGAGCAAGACCCCUGAUGGAGACCAAGGGCCUACAGGUAGAUUCCAGCCCCUGUGGAUAUAGUCAGUUUCCCAGUCGAUGGUGCAUUCUCAUUUGGCUCUUCACUCUCCCACAUGCCAAUUGCUCUGCCUACGCAGUCCUCCUCUUUAUAGCCCUGAUUCCUGUCCCUAGAUAAUUUUCUG